CAGAGGGUGCAAACGUUGUUCGGAAUUACUGGGCGUAAAGCGCGUGCAGGCGGCCUUGCAAGUCGGACGUGAAAUCCCACGGCUCAACCGUGGAAGUGCAUUCGAAACUGCGAGGCUGGAGUCCUGGAGAGGAAAGUGGAAUACUCGGUGUAGAGGUGAAAUUCGUAGAUAUCGAGUGGAACACCGGUGGCGAAGGCGGCUUUCUGGACAGGUACUGACGCUGAGACGCGAAAGCGUGGGGAGCAAACAGGAUUAGAUACCCUGGUAGUCCACGCCGUAAACGAUGAGUGCUAGGUGUCACGGGCUUUGACCCUCGUGGUGCCGAAGCUAACGCGUUAAGCACUCCGCCUGGGGAGUACGGCCGCAAGGCUA
rnacentral:rRNA from 1 species